UAUCUUUUAUUUUUAACGGAUUUCCCACCCUGAAAUUGGUUCAACUGGAAAUAGAAUCCAAUAGUUGGAAGAACACCGCACAUAUUGCGGUGUCUGGUGCUCCCUCGACAUCCAUUGAAAAUAUGGAGGACCGAGUACCAUCCAUGCCCAACCAUACUCAUAACCACAUCAAGUAUCCAAGGUGAACAACCUCUGGUC
rnacentral:ncRNA from 1 species